AUUGAACGCUGGCGGCAGGCCUAACACAUGCAAGUCGAGCGAGCGGCGGACGGGUGAGUAAUGUCUGGGAAUCUGCCCGAUAGAGGGGGAUAACUACUGGAAACGGUAGCUAAUACCGCAUACUAUCGGAUGAACCCAGAUGGGAUUAGCUAGUAGGUGGGGUAACGGCUCACCUAGGCGACGAUCCCUAGCUGGUCUGAGAGGUUGAUCAGCCACACUGGGACUGAGACACGGUCCAGACUCCUACGGGAGGCAGCAGUGGGGAAUAUUGCACAAUGGGCGCAAGCCUGAUGCAGCCAUGCCGCGUGUAUGAAGAAGGCCUUCGGGUUGUAAAGUACUUUCAGCGGGGAGGCGUUACCCGCAGAAGAAGCACCGGCUAACUCCGUGCCAGCCGCCGCGGUAAUAC
rnacentral:rRNA from 1 species